AUACGUAGGGUGCAGCGUUAAUCGGAAUUACUGGGCGUAAAGCGUGCGCAGGCGGUUUUGUAAGACAGUGGUGAAAUCCCCGGGCUCAACCUGGGAACUGCCAUUGUGACUGCAAGGCUGGAGUGCGGCAGAGGGGGAUGGAAUUCCGCGUGUAGCAGUGAAAUGCGUAGAUAUGCGGAGGAACACCGAUGGCGAAGGCAAUCCCCUGGGCCUGCACUGACGCUCAUGCACGAAAGCGUGGGGAGCAAACAGGAUUAGAUACCCUGGUAGUCCACGCCCUAAACGAUGUCAACUGGUUGUUGGGGAUUUAUUUUCUCAGUAACGAAGCUAACGCGUGAAGUUGACCGCCUGGGGAGUACGGCCGCAAGGUUAAAACUCAAAUGAAUUGACGGGG
rnacentral:rRNA from 1 species